rnacentral:rRNA from 1 species
UACGGGGGGGGCAAGCGUUGUUCGGAAUUACUGGGCGUAAAGGGCUCGUAGGCGGCCAACUAAGUCGGACGUGAAAUCCCCGAGCUCAACUCGGGAACUGCGUCCGAUACUGGUGGGCUUGAAUCCGGGAGAGGGAUGCGGAAUUCCAGGUGUAGCGGUGAAAUGCGUAGAUAUCUGGAGGAACACCGGUGGCGAAGGCGGCAUCCUGGACCGGCAUUGACGCUGAGGCGCGAAAGCUAGGGGAGCAAACGGG